UUGGAUUUCAGGAGACACAAACAGCUGCAGCUUGUGAAGAUGACGCUUCCGUGAAGGGUAAAUUCACUUUUGAAAAUUCACCAUGAAAUUCACCUUUGUUCCAAAAAAUCAAAUGAAAAGAAAUGCAGAGACUGUGGAGCGAUUGCAAGCCUCCAGCGGUGAAGAUUUAAGAUGAGUGUAAGGAAUCACAUGUAGAGAAGACUCCAAAUUCAGGCAGCUCACAGGCCUCCCAAUGGCACAGCACUGCCCAGAAUUUCUGCAAAGCAGAGCUUUCCUUUUGGGAUGGAAAAUKAAAUGCUGCUAAGCUGGUGUUAAGAUGUGCAAAAAUGAUCCUUUCUCCAGGAGCUGCUGACAGCAGGAUGGUGCACGUUCCUGCACUCACAGGGAGGUUUGGCUCAAGUCUGAUCCCAACUUUGUGAUCAGCUCGGUCUCUGAUGGAAAACAGAGACAUGCAGUCCAGAGGUGUUUGUGGGGAGCCUUCUGACUCAAAACAAAGCCCUCAAACCACUCCAAAAWUACUAGAAAAGUUCUCUCCAUGCCUUCUGGUGGAUCUGAUGGAUUUUCAGAUGCUUGUGAUGAAGAUGAAAUGGUCACUGCAGAGAGCCAUGGGUAGAGCCAGGAGGCUGGGCUGGCAGGAAGGAUGACCAGGCUGGCCCCUGAGCAGGAACCCACUGGUGCGUGUGGAGAGGGCAGCAGAGGCAGSAGGGGAACAAUAUUGAGUCACAGCAGUCAAGAAGGAUCAAAGUUUGGCUAUUUUUGACACA